ACUCCUACGGGAGGCAGCAGUGGGGAAUCUUCCGCAAUGGACGAAAGUCUGACGGAGCAACGCCGCGUGAGUGAAGAAGGUUUUCGGAUCGUAAAACUCUGUUUUCAGGGACGAAUGUGCACAGUGUAAAUAAUGCUGUGUAAUGACGGUACCUGAGUAGAAAGCCACGGCUAACUACGUGCCAGCAGCCGCGGUAAUACGUAGGUGGCAAGCGUUGUCCGGAAUUAUUGGGCGUAAAGCGCGCGCAGGUGGGAUAUUAAGUCUGGUGUUAAAGUUCGGGGCUCAACCCCGUGAAGCAUUUGGAAACUGAUAUUCUUGAGUGCAGGAGAGGAAAGUGGAAUUCCUAGUGUAGCGGUGAAAUGCGUAGAUAUUAGGAGGAACCCCAGUGGCGAAGGCGACUUUCUGGACUGUGUCUGACACUGAGGCGCGAAAGCCAGGGUAGUGAACGGGAUUAGAUACCCCGGUAAUCCUGGCCGUAAACGAUGGGUACUAGGUGUUGGGGGUAUCGACCCCUCCAGUGCCGGAGUUAACGCAAUAAGUACCCCGCCUGGGGAGUACGGC
rnacentral:rRNA from 1 species